UGGGGAAUAUUGCACAAUGGGCGCAAGCCUGAUGCAGCCAUGCCGCGUGUGUGAAGAAGGCCUUCGGGUUGUAAAGCACUUUCAGCGAGGAGGAAGGCGUUAAGGUUAAUAACCUUGGCGAUUGACGUUACUCGCAGAAGAAGCACCGGCUAACUCCGUGCCAGCAGCCGCGGUAAUACGGAGGGUGCAAGCGUUAAUCGGAAUUACUGGGCGUAAAGCGCACGCAGGCGGUUUGUUAAGUCAGAUGUGAAAUCCCCGAGCUUAACUUGGGAACUGCAUUUGAAACUGGCAAGCUAGAGUCUUGUAGAGGGG
rnacentral:rRNA from 1 species